UUCUGGCUUGAAAUUUUAAUUUAUAGAUUUAAUUAUAUACAAAGUUUUUUGUUAUUUGAAUUUAUUAUAUAAUGAUAAAUUAUUUGUGUUUAAGUAUAAAGAUGUAAUAUAGAAAAUUAAAUAUAAAAGAAAUUUUGAUUUAGGAAUUUAUAAUAGUAUUGAUUAAAUUUGUGCCAGCAAUUGCGGUUAGACAGAUAAUGCGAUUAAAUUUGUUCGGUUAAUAAUAAAUUAGAUUAUAGGGGUUUUAAAAGUUGAUUUUAUUAGGUGAAAUUAGUAAGGUUGAUUAAAAAUUAUUUUUAGAUAAUAAGGUUAUGAGGUUUUUAUUAUAGACUAGGAUUAGAUACCCUAUUAUUGAAAAUGCAAAUUCUUAUGCUUGAGUAGUAGUAGUUAUGUUCUUGAAAUUCAAAGAAUCUGGCGGUAUUUUAGUCCAUUCAGAGGAACCUGUCCUAUAAUUGAUGAUCCACGAUUAAUUGUACUUAUUUUCAGUUUGUAUAUCGUCGUAGGUGGAAUGUUUUACGAGAAAAGGGAAUGUUCAAGAUUUAUAUAAAUAUAAAGGAAAUCAGAUCAAGAUACAGCGUAUAGAUAAGAAGAGAUGGGUUACAAUAAAUUUAUUUAGAUGGUUGGAAUAUUUAACAAUAUUUUAUAAAUUGGAUUUGAUAGUAAUAUGAUUAAGUUAAAUUGUAUGAUUGUGGCUCUAGAAUAUGCACAUAUCGCCCGUCGCUCCCUCUCCAAAGAUGGAUAAGUCGUAACAUAGUAGGUGUACUGGAAAGUGUACCUAGAAUGU
rnacentral:ncRNA from 1 species